GCCGGGUGCGGUGGCAUGUGCCUGUAAUCCAAGUCACUGGGAGGCUGAGGUUGGUGGAUCAAGUGAGCUGAGGAGCUCUGGGCUGCAGCACACUAUGUUGAACGGGUGUCCACGCUAAGUUCGGUAUCGAUAUGGUGUUCCAGGGGGAGCCCGGGACCACCAGGUUGUCUAAGGAGGGGUGAACCGGCCCAGGUCGGAAACGAAGCAGGUCAAAUCCCCCGUGCUGUCCAGUAGUGGGAUAAUACCUGUGAGUAGAUGCUGCAGUGCAGCCUUGGCAAAACAUCGAGACCUAAUCUUUC
rnacentral:SRP_RNA from 1 species